UUGAACGCUGGCGGCAUGCCUUACACAUGCAAGUCGAACGGCAGCAUGGGGGCAACCCUGGUGGCGAGUGGCGAACGGGUGAGUAAUACAUCGGAACGUGCCCUGAAGUGGGGGAUAACGUAGCGAAAGUUACGCUAAUACCGCAUAUUCUGUGAGCAGGAAAGCAGGGGAUCGCAAGACCUUGCGCUUUAGGAGCGGCCGAUGUCGGAUUAGCUAGUUGGUGAGGUAAAGGCUCACCAAGGCGACGAUCCGUAGCGGGUCUGAGAGGAUGAUCAGCCACACUGGAACUGAGACACGGUCCAGACUCCUACGGGAGGCAGCAGUGGGGAAUUUUGGACAAUGGGGGAAACCCUGAUCCAGCCAUUCCGCGUGAGUGAAGAAGGCCUUCGGGUUGUAAAGCUCUUUCGGCAGGAACGAAACGGCGGAAUCUAAUACAUUCCACUAAUGACGGUACCUGAAGAAGAAGCACCGGCUAACUACGU
rnacentral:rRNA from 1 species